UACGUAGGGUGCGAGCGUUGUCCGGAAUUAUUGGGCGUAAAGAGCUCGUAGGCGGUUUGUCGCGUCGACUGUGAAAAUCCGGGGCUCAACUCCGGACUUGCGGUGGGUACGGGCAGACUAGAGUGCGGUAGGGGAGACUGGAAUUCCUGGUGUAGCGGUGAAAUGCGCAGAUAUCAGGAGGAACACCGAUGGCGAAGGCAGGUCUCUGGGCCACUACUGACGCUGAGAAGCGAAAGCGUGGGGAGCGAACAGG
rnacentral:rRNA from 1 species